ensembl:snRNA U4 U4 spliceosomal RNA
AGCUUUGUACAGUGGCAGUAUCAUAGCCAGUGAGGUUUAUCUGAGGCACAAUUAUUGUUAAUUGAAAACCUUUCCCAAUACCCUGCUGUGACGACUUGCAAUGUAGUCAGUACUGGAAAUUUUUGAUGAUCUCUAUGGAGA